ACAAAGCUCUUUUUUUUGUCACAUCACCAUGUCAUGCCCAUUUCGUGUAAUUUUGAAUAACUCUAUCAUAAACUAAGUGAUUGAAUAUAACAACACUUGGAUGUUUUUGCAUAUUUCGGCAAAUUUUACAAGGACACUAAAAAAUCUAAUUAUCGUUAAGAAGGUUUUUUUUCUCCGCGAAUUCAAGAAAGUGAAUCACUCCAUUCUCAUACUCUUUAUUUAAUCCAUUAACUUUCAUCCAACUAUGAUCCAUAAUCACAUACAACUUCUGAAAAAUAAAAUAAAAAUAAUACACAACCAACAAAAAUGAACCAUAUAAGUCUCAAAAACCAUAAUAACAACAACAACAACGACGACGACUACAA
rnacentral:lncRNA from 1 species